GGGUUGUGAGGUUAAGCGACUAAGCGUACACGGUGGAUGCCCUGGCAGUCAGAGGCGAUGAAGGACGUGCUAAUCUGCGAUAAGCGCCGGUAAGGUGAUAUGAACCGUUAUAACCGGCGAUUUCCGAAUGGGGAAACCCAGUGUGAUUCGUCACACUAUCAUUAACUGAAUCCAUAGGUUAAUGAGGCGAACCGGGGGAACUGAAACAUCUAAGUACCCCGAGGAAAAGAAAUCAACCGAGAUUCCCCCAGUAGCGGCGAGCGAACGGGGAGGAGCCCAGAGCCUGAAUCAGCAUGUGUGUUAGUGGAAGCGUCUGGAAAGACGCGCGAUACAGGGUGACAGCCCCGUACACAAAAGCGCAUGUGCUGUGAGCUCGAUGAGUAGGGCGGGACACGUGGUAUCCUGUCUGAAUAUGGGGGGACCAUCCUCCAAGGCUAAAUACUCCUGACUGACCGAUAGUGAACCAGUACCGUGAGGGAAAGGCGAAAAGAACCCCGGCGAGGGGAGUGAAAAAGAACCUGAAACCGUGUACGUACAAGCAGUGGGAGCCCCACCACUAAGCCAGUGGUGAACUCCACAUACGCAUCCUUUGCUGAGGAUACGGUUAACGGAGCGAAAGCGACGUUCAACCUCAAAAGAAGCAGAGGGGGCUUAGUGGUGGGGUGACUGCGUACCUUUUGUAUAAUGGGUCAGCGACUUAUAUUCUGUAGCAAGGUUAACCGAAUAGGGGAGCCGGAGGGAAACCGAGUCUUAACCGGGCGUUAAGUUGCAGGGUAUAGACCCGAAACCCGGUGAUCUAGCCAUGGGCAGGUUGAAGGUUGGGUAACACUAACUGGAGGACCGAACCGACUAAUGUUGAAAAAUUAGCGGAUGACCUGUGGCUGGGGGUGAAAGGCCAAUCAAACCGGGAGAUAGCUGGUUCUCCCCGAAAGCUAUUUAGGUAGC
rnacentral:rRNA from 1 species